GAAUUUAAGCAUAUAAUUAAGCGGAGGAAAAGAAACUAACCAGGAUUCCCUCAGUAAGGGCGACUGAAGCGGGAAGAGCUCAGGAUGUGAAUCUGCGCCUUGUGCGCCGAAUUGUGGUCUGUCGACGGUGGCAUUACUAGCCGGGCCAAGUCCUUUGGAACAAGGCAGCUGAGAGGGUGAGACUCCCGUCCGCCUGGCCAGGUGAGCCACUAGUCAACGAGUCGAGUUGUUUGGGAUUGCAGCUCCAAGUGGGUGGUAAAUUCCAUCUAAAGCUAAAUAUUGGUGGGAGACCGAUAGCGUACAAGUACCGUGAGGGAAAGAUGCAAAGAACUUUGAAAAGAGAGUUAAAGAGUACCUGAAAUUGCUGAAAGGGAAGCGAAGGAAACCAGUGUCGGCUCAGUCAUAUUUCCCUGUCCGCUUGCGGUUUGGGCGCUGUGUCUGGCCUGUGUCGUCCUUGGUUGGGUCUGCUGGAAGAGCGCAGUGAGAGUUGAUCUCUGUUGCUAGCAGCGGGUCUGACUGAGGAGGACGAAAUGGUUUUCUUUACCCCGUCUUGAAACACGGGACCAAGGACG
rnacentral:rRNA from 1 species